UCGGACGUGGUGCGCGGUGCACGCCCGCUGCUCUUAAGCCGUUCGGUGCGUUGAAGCGGGAGGGCUGGGUUCGACUCCCAGCGUUCGGA